rnacentral:rRNA from 1 species
GUAUAGACCCGAAACCGGGCGAUCUAUCCAUGGGCAGGUUGAAGGUUAGGUAACACUGACUGGAGGACCGAACCGACUACCGUUGAAAAGUUAGCGGAUGACCUGUGGAUCGGAGUGAAAGGCUAAUCAAGCUCGGAGAUAGCUGGUUCUCCUCGAAAGCUAUUUAGGUAGCGCCUCAUGUAUCACUCCAGGGGGUAGAGCACUGUUUCGGCUAGGGGGUCAUCCCGACUUACCAAACCGAUGCAAACUCCGAAUACCUGGAAGUGCCGAGCAUGGGAGACACACGGCGGGUGCUAACGUCCGUCGUGAAAAGGGAAACAACCCAGACCGUCAGCUAAGGUCCCAAAGUCAUGGUUAAGUGGGAAACGAUGUGGGAAGGCUUAGACAGCUAGGAGGUUGGCUUAGAAGCAGCCACCCUUUAAAGAAAGCGUAAUAGCUCACUAGUCGAGUCGGCCUGCGCGGAAGAUGUAACGGGGCUCAAACCAUGCACCGAAGCUACGGGUGUCAUCUUUGAUGACGCGGUAGAGGAGCGUUCUGUAAGCCUGUGAA